GGAUCAUUAUAGAGUUAUCACAACUCCCAACCCAUGUGAACAUACCUAUUGUUGCCUCGGCAGGUCGCAGGCUGCUGGGAAAGGUCCCCCUAGCUUGGGGGGCCUACCCGGGAGCUGCGGUCAAGCCUGCCGGCGGCCCGCAAAACUCUGUUUAGCAUUGAAAUUCUGAAUCAUAACUAAAUAAGUUAAAACUUUCAACAACGGAUCUCUUGGUUCUGGCAUCGAUGAAGAACGCAGCGAAAUGCGAUAAGUAAUGUGAAUUGCAGAAUUCAGUGAAUCAUCGAAUCUUUGAACGCACAUUGCGCCCAUUAGUAUUCUAGUGGGCAUGCCUGUUCGAGCGUCAUUUCAACCCUUAAGCCCCUGUUGCUUAGUGUUGGGAGACUACGUCAGCGUAGCUCCUCAAAGUUAGUGGCAGAGUCAGUUCAAACUCUAGGUGUAGUAAAUCUCUUCUCGCCUCUGCAGUUGGGCUGCCCCUCGCCGUAAAACCCCUAAUUUUCCAAAGGUUGACCUCGGAUCAGGUAGGAAUACCCGCUGAACUUAAGCAUAUCAAUAAGCGGAGGAAAAGAAACCAACAGGGAUUGCCCUAGUAACGGCGAGUGAAGCGGCAAUAGCUCAAAUUUGAAAUCUGGCCUUCGGGUCCGAGUUGUAAUUUGUAGAGGAUGCUUUUGGCGCGGUGCCUUCCGAGUUCCCUGGAACGGGACGCCUUAGAGGGUGAGAGCCCCGUACGGUUGGACACCAAGCCUCUGUAAAGCUCCUUCGACGAGUCGAGUAGUUUGGGAAUGCUGCUCUAAAUGGGAGGUAAAUUUCUUCUA
rnacentral:misc_RNA from 1 species